GUGAAUAGUGUUCUCUCAUGUUAAUAAUAAUUAAGUUUAGAGCACAAAAAAGUUAUUAUUAACAUGUAAUUUAUUUAUAUACAAGAAAAAUAAUCCAAACUUAAAUUGCUUAUUAAAAUGUAGCAAAAAGAUAAAUUAUAAAAAAAUAAAAAAUAACUAAGCAAAAAAUAUGCUGGACUGGGGGAUUGAACCUAGAUGCUUGUGCUAAGAAGUUGGCUUUUUAACCGGUUAAUAUUCUAGAACAAUAGUGCUUGUUCUAAUAGUUUGGCGCAAAUGAGAAUGGCUGCGCUAAUAACAAUAGUGUCAUACUGUAUAACCUUGGUGCCAAUGGUGAUGCCACCAAGCUGAUGGUCUACAUUCCAUCAAAAAAUAUUUGAGAAAAUCUUUCAAAAAAAAAGAGUUAAAAAAGACGGACCCCACGCGAAGUCUGUGCCAUACGUCGGCACGCCAAGUACCCAGCGAGGGCGUGAAGCGCGGAGAGAGCUCCAAUCUACCUCUGGCUAGAACAUUCUACAAACCAAGAUAAGUAUUUAGCAUGACUCCUUUUUAUUUUGUACAAAAAAAAACAUAUUGCACUAGAGGCAAUGGUUUUUGCCAAAAAAAAAUAUAAUUUUGAAUCUAGAAGUAUUAUUUACUCCUAUGGGAUAUAAUCAGAGUAGCAUUGAUGAGAAGAUCACCUCAUGGUAGUUCGUCUGUUUAUUAUAGGUAUGAGAAGAGUAUUUUGAUGAUGAAAAACUCAAAUAAAAUAAAUUUUAUCCAUUGAUUUCUGUUUAGUAUAUAUCGUUAUUUACCAGGAUUCAAUAUAAUAUUAGAUAAACGUUC
rnacentral:lncRNA from 1 species